UCUCCUACAAUCCAUCCUCCCACAGACAGCCAUCUUUAAUUUCUGAUUCCCCCUCUUCUCCAGUCCAUCUCCUCACCAUAUGGAGGAAAGGAAUUAACACACAGAGCUCUUGUGACCAGAAGUUACAGGUUUCUUACCAGGGUGAAGUGCGCCACACUGUCUUCCAAACAUCUGUGGACAAGAAGGUACCGAAGUUUUACAUAGUGCCUGCAUACCUAAAGCAGCAAGAAACUUCUGAUGACUGAGCAGGCAAAGCAUUUAAGAAGCCACACAAGGGCAGAAUUAUCCUUCCCUCCUCAAACACUGGGGACUCUGGGAUUUUCUGAGACUUAAAAAUAGCAUUUCCAAUGAGCUGCCCUCAGAGGAUGCAAACUGUGGUAUCUGCCAGCCUCACUCACAGGGAUUUGAGGGAAGUGCUGCUAUAAUUGCAUCCUAUCUGGAUGUACUAUGAUGCUCUCUAGUCCUACUAUGUCAGGAAGGAGAAAGAGGGAGCUGUUCCAUGAGGAAGAGGAAGCUGCAAGCCAAGCAUGGUGGCAAAGCUGGCAAAGGCAAGGUACCAGCAGCAAGAGCCAUCUCAUCUGACUGUGUGAGAAAGCAGUAGAAAAGUUUGUAGACAAGUAAGUGAACUGUCUUGAACUUGACAAAGAAAAAAUCAGAGCAGAGAAAAUAUUACCCUGGAAAGAAGAAGACAAGACAGCAAUAGAGACACCUGCAAGUUGUCAGGGUAAGGAUCACUAUUGAGCUACCAUCUCAGUAACAUUGUGCAAGGAAAAACAAAGGGAUAGAGGAAAAAGCUCCAUGACAUCUCUUGAAAACUAGCAGGGAAUGAAGGGGAGAGAGAAGGAAAAAGGAUUUUUCUGAGGGGUGCACUGAAGAAGCAAUUAAUCACAGAGUGAAGAAGAGAAGCAGUACCACAGUCACAGCUGAAAGCAGAG